GGAGAGAUGGCUCAGUGGUUAAGAGCACUGGCUGCUCUUCCAGAGGACUUGGGUUCAAUUCCCAGCACCA
rnacentral:tRNA from 1 species